rnacentral:rRNA from 1 species
CGGACGGGUGAGUAACGCGUGAGAAUCUGCCUUCAGGUCGGGGACAACCACUGGAAACGGUGGCUAAUACCCGAUGUGCGCAACGUGAAAGAUUUAUCGCCUGAAGAGGAGCUCGCGUCUGAUUAGCUAGUUGGUGGGGUAAAAGCUCACCAAGGCGACGAUCAGUAGCUGGUCUGAGAGGAUGAUCAGCCACACUGGGACUGAGACACGGCCCAGACUCCUACGGGAGGCAGCAGUGGGGAAUUUUCCGCAAUGGGUGAAAGCCUGACGGAGCAAGACCGCGUGAGGGAGGAAGGCUCUUGGGUUGUAAACCUCUUUUCUCAGGGAAGAACAAAAUGACGGUACCUGAGGAAUCAGCCUCGGCUAACUCCGUGCCAGCAGCCGCGGUAAUACGGAGGAGGCAAGCGUUAUCCGGAAUUAUUGGGCGUAAAGCGUCCGCAGGUGGCACUUCAAGUCUGUCGUCAAAGACUGGGGCUUAACCCUGGAAAGGCGGUGGAAACUGAAGCGCUAGAGUGUGGUAGGGGUAGAGGGAAUUCCCGGUGUAGCGGUGAAAUGCGUAGAGAUCGGGAAGAACAUCGGUGGCGAAAGCGCUCUACUGGACCACAACUGACACUCAGGGACGAAAGCUAGGGGAGCGAAUGGGAUUAGAUACCCCAGUAGUC